CACCCUGAUCUAAAGAUUUUUAGUGUCAAAUGUGAUUACUGUGCACCUCGAUUUGUAAUAUUGCAUAACCGCGAUUUAGCAUCUAAAGGAGAAGCCCUCAUCUCCUAACAGUCAUGUUGGAUCAGAGUUGGAGUUUGUGUGGAAUCUGUUUCUUCAAAUAACAUUUGAAGAAACAUUUUUGAAAUUUCAAGUCCUCUCCGUCGUUGUUCAUUUGAAUAUUCUCAGAACUUUAACUCAAAGAUUUAGAGGCAGUUCAAAAAUAUUUCCUUAAAUUAGUUUAACUUUUCAUUGUAAUCAGUUCAUGUGGGCUCUUAGAACAGAAGGCUUUUGGCUUUUGGAAAUAACCUAGAUUGUAACAAACAGCUGACAGAGUUUGGUUUGAUGUCUUGUUUUUGGCGUAGAAAACUUUGGUAGUGAGUAUAAAUAUUAGACUUAAUGCAAUUAAAUGGAAAUAACAUCUCUGUACAGGCUGGAUAUGAUUAUUUUUAUUUUUUUCAUUGAACUAGGACUUCUUGAAUUUAAUGUUUAUUUCAAGAAUGAAUUUUGAAAUCACCAAUAUAUGUUAGGUUGAAAAUCCUCAUAAAGUCAAUCUCUGAUUGUUGCUUUACUGAAAAUGUCUUAUAAAAGUGAAGAUCUUAAUAAAGUCCUGUGAAAACUGCUCGGAUCCACACGCAUCCUGAUGUCUUACAGGUAAACGGAGAGGAACUUGACCUUAGGACACCUGAGGUUGAACCAGGUGCAGAGGUCUGUUGUCGGAAUUCCAGGUGACAUUCACAUGAGGUGGCUUCUUGAAGUGUGUUUCUGUUUCCUGCUGAUGAAUAGAGUCACAUCUCUUUAAGCAUAGAACAAGAACUGCUGAAUUCCUUAGGAUCUCAAACUGGAUAACCACUCUUCACCAAGGGGCAUUAUUUUUAAUUCAACUUUUGUUUGUGUUUUGUAGAAUAAUGAUCUGAAGAACAGGAAACAUGUUUUAGAUAUUUGUAGAUAUAAAUUUAUAUCAAGAACCAAACAACUUGUUCCUGCAUUCCACUGCAAAAAUAAUAAUAAUAAUAAUUUGUUAUCUGCUGUUCUGAUAUUUGGCGUCCCUGCAUCUUCUCUGUCUGAACUGCUGUGUCAGAUAUUGAAAGUUGGUGUGGAAGCAGAGGGCGUGGAGCUUAGUGGGAGUGUGUUCUGACUCCAAGAGCGAGACUGAAAGGUCUGCUCCAUCCUGGAUCGGAUGGAUGUUUAAGUUCAUCUGUUGCCUCUAUUCUUUGGUAAGCACAUGGUAAUGCCUCCUCUUCUUUUUUUAUUAUUGGCUUCUCCUCCAUCCCAGCCAUUAGUUUGGUUAUUGCUGUGGUUGCAGAAAAAGUUUUUUUACUUUCCUACUGAUGUGACUGUCAGAAUUUUGGAUGUCUCAUCAUGUGUACAGUAAUAACUUUGCACUGCAGCCUUCCUUUUUUUUUUUUUUUUCAUUUAGUUUUCUCCUUUAUGUUUAUUUGUCCCAUGUGAAGCAAUUUUGUCCUUUAGGUGUGCACAAUGCUGCCUUUUUAUCCACAAAAGAUACAUUAAAAAUGUCCAGAAGAACAUGACAACACUUGCAUCGCUGCCAUCUUGGGUAAUUGUUGCUAAAAUUCUUAGCACAUGUGAGUUUCACUGCAGGGAGGGGUCUGGAAUUCUCCGUUCUCAAGUUCUGCACUUAUUUAUUGUGAAACAAAAAAUGUUCUGGAAAGAACAAACUUUGUUUCUCACAACAUACCAGGAAACUAUAUCACUUUUGGACAAAUGUCCCGCCAAGCUUCAGCUUUUUCCAGUCAGAAAUCCAUCCGUGGCGUGUUCACAGGUGACAUUUUAGGCUUACUUGUUAACACAUGGGUGACGGUUUCAGGUAGAACCAUUUUCGGAAAUGAGAAAUUCAGGGAAUUUGAUAUUUUUUAUCUUUUCUUUUAGACUUUUGUUCAAUUGUUUUGUAAAAAAAAAACACUCUUCUUAUAAAAAAGAAAACUAAUCUCUAGCUUACAGCUUUUUCACAUAAACUAAAAUACAAAUGCUCGAUCUCGCAUGCAUCUGAUAAUUGUGGCUUCAAACUUGUGACUUUGGCCAAAUCUUAUCACCUUGGAUAUCUAGUCCAUGUGCACAAUAGGGUUGUUAGGUUUAUUUUGUCUUUUCAACAAUGUUUUAUUAAGCAGAAGUGCUAGCAGGAAGGUCAUGAUUAUGUGUGGGCACUAAAAUCAUUUUUGAUUGAAAGACUGUUGGUAUUUUUUUCCUGACAUCUUUCUUUCAUUGUGAUGUUUCAUUUUAUAAAAAACAAAAAACCUACCACACAUUAUUUUGAUGUUCAAACAGCCUAUGGAUAUACAAGUGAUUUUUCUUUUAACCCAUUGAUAUCUGAACAUAUUUCCAUCUAUGGGUGAAAAAAAGGUCACUUAUUUUUUUUGCUUGGAAGUAGAUGUUAAAGUAGGGUAAUUAUGGAGCAGAAAUGGUUUUCUGCCUAUAUUCAUCAAUAGGCUUUAAGGGGUUAAAUCUAGUUUUUUUAAGGCAAUCAUAAAUAACCUCAUUAUUUUUAUUGUUUUACAAAAUAGAAUUCAUGCUGGUAGGAAAAAAUGUAGUUGCGUGGUUUCAGUUGUAUUGGUUCCCAUGCAGGAUUUCAUGCUCAAACUCUAUUUAAAGGUUCGCACAGGUGGGUACAUGAAAGCACGUUUUCCCUGCAUUAUAAGCUUGUCAAUCACUCUAAAAAGCCAGUUUUUGCAAAGGUCUGUAGGCCCCACAGUAAGAGCCCUGCUUCUUAAUAGCACCUGGUGUUAAGGAGAUCAGCGUGAGGGUUUGUCAGUACAUGACAAGAAUGGACACUAAUCCCAAGCAAUACCCACUGGUCCUGCACGUCUCUUGAGCGGGAUAAUUGAUUCUCACACCCUUCUUAAAACACGCUUGGCCUUUUUUUUUUCUGAGACCCGACAACCCAGUGAAAAGAGCUAGUUUCCCUCUGGUGUCGAGGGAACGGCGCUCCGACAACAAAAGUGUGUGUCUCUGCCGCGCGCAGCUCCUGGGACAGUAGGGCUGAGGGCUGUCAGAAGUGUUGUAGAUGGUAGCAAACAGAUUUGUGGGUAAUGGACACUAAUCUCUUCUAGUGAGUUGUCAGGGGUUUUUCCCUCAGAUCCCGCUUCUCUGAUCCUCUCGGAUGGUAACACGGAUGACAUAAAUGUGAAAACCUCCCGUAAGUGAGAAUCGAGAAAAGGCGAGUUUGCUUCAUCCAAUACGCUGCAUGCAGAUCUAGGUGUUUUUCUCCAGUUAAUAUUCAAAACGGAAGACUUAUGAGAUGUCCAAAGGGUGGAGUUUGUUAAAGGAAGAAGCUUUUUGUCUUAUCUAUGCGUUUUUUGAUCCAAUUUCAUACAAACUGGAGAGUCGUAGGUCAUUUCAGGGAAUUUAGAAUUCAAAUGAAAUGCGGAAUCGUUUUAAGAAAAGAAAAAUCGCUUUUGAGUAAAUGGCAAAAACGGAUUUCUGUCUCCUUCUGCUCAUAUUCUUCCAUAUUAGCCUUGGCCUGACCUUGUCUUGAUAUCACUUCCCAGGAGAGGAAUGUGAAUGGUAUUCUUCCAAACACAGUUACCGCCAAACUCCCCAUUCUCAUCACCUCUACUCUGCUCUGUUCCAGGGCCACAUGAUCUUUUCCAUGUACCAGACAUACUUUGUGGCUAAGGUUUGGAGGCUGACGGUGCGUCUGCGCCCCUCUGCUGUUUCAGGCGUCGGGUGCACCAUGUGAUUCCUGAGAUGCAGAAAAGUGUAGUUCAUGUUUUGUUGGAGCGGCUAUCAAACCUCUCCAAUUGGUCUUAAUUAUUUUAUUUUUUUAAAAAGACCUUAAAAAGCAAACGCCUAUCAAACUUAAAAAAAAAGGAAAUUUUGUUGGUGUGUAGCCUUUAUUUAUUGGCAGCAACCUAUCAUUCAUGCACAUUUUCUUGUGAAGUGUAAAGACACCCUCCAUCUAAAUUGCAUGGGAACAUGUGACAACUUGUUCACCAUUCAUAGAGUUUGGGUAAGUAAGCUGUUGCCGUGCAGCUGUGGGAGAAAAACUCAAGAUAUCCUUUAAACAGAGGUGGCAUCCAACAAUUCUGAUGAUUUGUAGCUGUUCUAACAGCAUCUUUUGGUUUCAUUGGUAACAUCAGUGAGCAGUUUUGUUCACUGUCUUUGAAGAUGACGACAAUAUCAACCCAGUCCACUGGGUCUUUUAUGGCCACAGCUGCUUCAUACAAUAUCUUCCUAUAGUUUCCUAGCAACCCAUGCAACACCCUGCCUGCAAGGUGUUUGCCUUUGAGCAAACAUGCCCAUUCAUCCACCUCAUUUCACCACAGAGAACAUUCACGACACAACAUGGUCCCAACGGAAAAAUAGUUUUGCUCUAGAUGCAAGGAAAGUCAAAGAUUUCAUAUGCAAGUGCUGCAGAGUUUUAUGUUAUUUCUUUUCAGAAUUACUGAUAUUUUGUUGAGAAUUUAUGAGAAAAAUGGUGAGUUUAAGCUGAGAAGCUCAAACCAGCAUGAUCUUAAGGAAGUAGCUCCAUGGGAAAAAUGGAAAUUCUGAAGAAAUCUAGUGACCUUGAGUGAAAACAUUUUGUCCUGAUGUAAAUGUUCCUGUAACAAGUUAUGAAUUUGCCUUUUUCCUAUUAUGACCUCAAACCAGUUUGACGUAAAUCAUCGGUUUCCACUACAAAGGGUCCAAAUGUUCACAUUGCUGACGGUUCAACUUCACACAAAUAUGUUAAAACACGUGAGAUCACGUGUGUUAUCCGCUGUGAUGCACUUUGACUUUACAGUAAAAAAAAUCUACCAUGUCUCAUAGAUCAAUUUGUAGUCAAUUUAUUUGAUUUUAAAAUGAUUUUACACUGGUAAAGGUCGAUUCAAUCAACAACUGGCCUUAGAUUAAUCUGGUUGAAUAGUUAAUCAAGUCGAUUAAUCGUUCAAAUUAGAGUACGCCUGCACAAUUCAUUUAUUUAACUUACUUAUUUAUUUAGCUUUUAACUAUUUAAUGGGUUUUAAAACUUAUCAUUUCUACAUUUAUUCCCCUUUUCUACAUCUCAAACUAUUAGCAACGGCAUUUGACACUAUCUAAUGUUUGUCUUUAAAUUGUUUUGUGUUUUAGGACUUUUUUUAUGUUUUAAUCUUUAUUUAUGUAUGUUUUUUUUUUACAAAGCAGCCUAUGUUCUGCGCCGGGAUCCUUCAAUUAUUUCAAAUGUUUCACCUUUGAACCAAAUUCUGGGGUGAGUGUAUCCUCGUCUCUCUACUGCGCACAAUUAAGUUUAUGUUUGAUGUGUCAAACAUGUAUUGUGCAAAAUUUAGGAGGAAUGUAUUACUUAUUGCUUUAUCGAGUUAUCUAGGUUUGAACCGAACCGUGAAGAAGGUGCAUUGUUGCAUCCCUGCAUGCCGAUGAAGGAUGCUCCAAAGUAAGUGAUGGACUGAUAGAAGAUUCUCUGCUAUUAUUCUAAGAAGUGAACCAAAGUUUUUUUUUUUUAUAAAAAAAGCUUUAAUUUAAGGAAACAUCAUAGUCUGCAGCAUUGCCUCAGAAAAGUCAGAUCUGGGAAUAAAUUAGGGAUCUUUAGAGCUCUUCAGCUUUCAACCCUUCUCUCAGAAGAUGCAGGAGAAGUGUUUGGGAAACUCCUGGUGUGCGAGCUGACUCCCCUCGUGCCGCCCAGCUGAAUGUUUCUGACAAGAACAAUGGGAGAAACUUCCAAUGGAAAGGUGCGCUCAGCUUCAGAAACUUUUUUCCCAAGAAGAUUCGAGUCUGUUUGAGACUUGGUUACGAGAUCAGAAGCAGCAGAGUAAAGAAUCAUGCAAAAGACUUAUUUUGGCGCCUCGGUUUACAUCAAAUUUUUAUAAAGCUGUCGAGCCAAAAAAUGAUUUCAACGUGUCACGGGUUUUAAAGGAUCAUUUGCAGCUUUGUAUCAUCGUUUUGCUUCAGUGUAUAAAAAAGUAUACGUUUACAGUUCAGCAAGUCUUAGAAAAAGCUACUCUGCUGAUCUGGAUCUUCUCCAAACUUCAGGUCUUUGAUUCAAAAGUUUUCACCUCCUGGGAAGAUCAGGCAAAAUGAUCAACAUAUGAUGUGUUUUCUGUGUUUAACACAACAUUUGUGACGUCAAGAACUUCCCGUGCAUCUAGAUCUAAAGCUGUCUCCCAUGAUUCCUCUUAUCAGAGACCUUUUUACACUUUGUACAGCCAACAGGCCGGCAGGCCAGAUAGGGAUGUCAACGCCUGCGGUCAUGCCCAUCCUGAUGAUGAAGUCACAGCACAAGCAGAGCUUUUCUUUGUUCCCGUGUGUGACGGCUUUCCAGGGAUGGCCACAGGGGUCAGCGAUGACUUUUUUCCAGGGUAACUCACAUGAACAACUGACCUGCGACUCCACUUCAAGGCUGCCAUCUAGUGGUUCCCUGACGUUUGUGCAGAAAUGCUCACCUGCAGCAAACUCCCACAGCCGUUCUGCUCCAUCAUGAAACCCUAAGUGAGGAAAAUGGAUGAUGUAACGAUGGUGUGAUGUAUUUCAGUGUUUCUGUACGAUGAUGUUAGCGCGGCUGGUUCAUGUCAAACAGAGGAGGCCUGACUGAGGCCGGCGAAGCAGAGCAAGGACUUGUUGGACAUGGCUCAGCUCUGACUGAAUGACAUCAGCCUCACUGUGAGGUGGAGGUGAACACACAGUGGAGCCCUCAUGCUUCUCUGUUUGUUAAAAAAAAAAAAAAA